UACAGAGGGUGCAAGCGUUGUUCGGAAUUAUUGGGCGUAAAGCGCGUGUAGGCGGCUUUGCAAGUCGGGUGUGAAAUCCCUCGGCUCAACCGAGGAAGUGCGCCCGAAACUGCAGAGCUUGAGUACCGGAGAGGAUGGCGGAAUUCCCCAAGUAGAGGUGAAAUUCGUAGAUAUGGGGAGGAACACCGGUGGCGAAGGCGGCCAUCUGGACGGAUACUGACGCUGAGACGCGAAAGCGUGGGGAGCAAACAGG
rnacentral:rRNA from 1 species